rnacentral:rRNA from 1 species
ACCAAAUAGAUACCCUGGUAGUCCACGCCUAAACGAUGCGAACUGGAUGUUGGGUACAUUACGGUACUCAGUGUCGAAAGCUAAACGCGUUAAGUUCGCCGGCCUGGGGGAGUACGGUCGCAAGACUGAAACUCAAAGGAAUUGACGGGGGCCCGCACAAGCGGUGGAGUAUGUGGUUUAAUUCGAUGCAACGCGAAGAACCUUACCUGGCCUUGACAUCUGUCGAAUCCUGCAGAGAUGCGGGAGUGCCGCAGGGAACGACAAGACAGGUGCUGCAUGGCUGUCGUCAGCUCGUGUCGUGAGAUGUUGGGUUAAGUCCCGCAACGAGCGCAACCCUUGUCCCUAGUUGCCAGCACAUCAUGGUGGGAACUCUAGGGAGACUGCCGGUGACAAACCGGACGGAAGGUGGGGGAUGACGUCAA